CAGCAGCGAAACGGGAGAGAGCCGAGGGUGGAGGCUGAAAUUUACCGCACGGAAGCAGGCGGCCCUGCACCGCUGUCCUAUUUUUACGGAGAAAACUCUACGGUCGCAGAUGGAGGUGGGGCGUUCUGGGAGAGACGUGUCCGGGGAGUCGCUGGGGGUCAGAGUCGACUUGACAGCGUAAGAUAAGACCAGACGGACUGAUUGAUUCCGGCAGGAAAGCUUUUGAGAGAAGUCCCAUGAGCGGACUAUCAGCUCGCUGUGGGCCGAGAAAGCGUGUGUUAUACCGUUACGCCGUACUCUCCCGAGCACUCGGAACAGUGUUCUGCACACGAUGAGGAAAUGGAGACCCAGGGAGGUGAAGUGAUUUGCCCAAGGUCACACAGCAGAACGGAGGCAGAACUGGAAUGAGAACCCCAGCCUCCACCUAGGUGACCUGGGAGAGCUGAGAAAUUCCACGAGUCCCACCGUUUCAAAACAUCGCUGGCCCACCAAUUCACUGAUCAGAGUACAAUUAUCUUCUUCAAUUCAGGGAGGGGAUCCCUGGCUAACUUCAUUUAAGAUCGAUCCCGAAAGGCCGAAAUGGGCGGUGUUCAUCAUUAUCGAUCGGUGGUGUCUAGACUCUAAGCUCCUUCGUCGUCAUCAUCGGCGGAGUUUAUGGAGCCCUGACCGCGUGCAGCUCACUGGGCAAGUACAACAGAACGGGGUUUGCGGAGACGUGGCCUGUCCUCAGCGAGCUCACGGUCUAGAGGGCGGGGCACGUUUCUAUCACCUCUGUCGUACCGUACUCCGGGGCACCGCCGGGAGCGAGGCCUUUAACCGGGCGCUUCUGAUUAACGAAAGGACGAGGGCCGGGUUUGCUAACUUGCCAGUAUCAGUGGAGAGUCCAAGCCUGCAGGCUGGAGGAAGGUCUAACCCGGCCGCCAUGCCCCAUCAGAUAAGGCCUCCGGAAGAAAGAGAACAAAAGAAAAAACCCCAUUCCAGGAAGGAGUGGAGGGGGGCGCUGGGAAAGUCGAGCUCUGCAAUUGCUUCCCCAGACAGGAAAUGAUUCCGGAGAUGGUUUAAUGGGGUGCGGGAGGAGGGGGGGCCCUGGAUGGGGAACAGCACCAUUCACUUAAAUCAUCACGAUGGAAAAAUCACGACGCAUGACCUCAGUACUCUCUCUCUCUCUCACACACACACACUGGAUGCUGCCAAAUUCUCCCCAUGCUGCACAACGGCGGUUAGAUUAUUAUGGGAUUCAUUAAUUAAUCAAUCAAUAGUAUUACUGAGUGCUUACCUUAUGCAGACCACUAUACAAAUCACCUGGGA